rnacentral:rRNA from 1 species
GAUGAACGCUGGCGGCGUGCCUAAUACAUGCAAGUCGAGCGAACGGACGAGAAGCUUGCUUCUCUGAUGUUAGCGGCGGACGGGUGAGUAACACGUGGAUAACCUACCUAUAAGACUGGGAUAACUUCGGGAAACCGGAGCUAAUACCGGAUGAUAUUUUGCAACGCAUGGUUCAAAAGUGAAAGACGGUCUUGCUGUCACUUAUAGAUGGAUCCGCGCUGCAUUAGCUAGUUGGUAAGGUAACGGCUUACCAAGGCAACGAUGCAUAGCCGACUUGAGUGGGGGAUCGGCCACACUGGAAGUGAGACGGGCUCCUGCGUCCUUCGGGAGGCAGCAGUAGGGAAGCUUCCGCAACGGUCGAAAACCUGGCGGACCAGCUCCGCUUCAGUCAUUAAGGCCUUCGGUUCGUAAAUCCCUGUUAUUAGGGAAGAACAUAUGUGUAAGUAACUGUGCACAUCUUGACGGUACCUAGUCAGAAAGCCACGGCUAACUACGUG